ensembl:misc_RNA Metazoa_SRP Metazoan signal recognition particle RNA
GCCAGGCAUGGUGGCGUACUCCUGUAAUUCCAGCUACUCAGAAGGCUGAGGUAGGAGGAUCGCUUGAGCCCAGGGGUCAGAGGUUGCAGUGAGCCCAGAUCGUGCCACUGCACUCCAGCCUGGGUGACAGAGUGAGAUCCUAUCUCAA